AGAGUUUGAUCAUGGCUCAGAUUGAACGCUGGCGGCAUGCCUUACACAUGCAAGUCGAACGCGAAAGGGGGCAACCCCGAGUAGAGUGGCGAACGGGUGAGCAAUACAUCGGAACAUUUCCUGUAGCGGGGGACAACCCCGAGAAAUCGGGGCUAAUACCGCAUACGAUCUACGGAUGAAAGUGGGGGACCGCAAGGCCCCACACUAUAGGAGUGGCCGAUGCCGGAUUAGCUAGUUGGUGGGGUAACGGCCUACCAAGGCGACGAUCCGUAGCUGGUUUGAGAGAACGACCAGCCACACUGGGACUGAGACACGGCCCAGACUCCUACGGGAGGCAGCAGUGGGGAAUUUUGGACAAUGGGCGCAAGCCUGAUCCAGCCAUGCCGCGUGAGUGAAGAAGGCCUUCGGGUUGUAAAGCUCUUUCGGCGGGGACGAAAUAGCGCGGGGUAACAUCCCGCGUCGAUGACGGUACCCGAAGAAGAAGGACCGGCUAACUACGUGCCAGCAGCCGCGGUAAUACGUAGGGUCCAAGCGUUAAUCGGAAUUACUGGGCGUAAAGCGUGAGUAGGCGGUUUCGCAAGUCCGAUGUGAAAUCCCCCGGGCUUAACCUGGGAACUGCGUUGGAAACUACGAGGCUAGAGUGCGGCAGAGGGGGGUGGAAUUCCAGGUAGCAGUGAAAUGCGUAGAGAUCUGGAGGAACACCGAUGGCGAAGGCAGCCCCCUGGGUUAGCACUGACGCUCAUACACGAAAGCGUGGGGAGCAAACAGGAUUAGAUACCCUAGUAGUCC
rnacentral:rRNA from 1 species